rnacentral:rRNA from 1 species
UACGAAGGGGGCUAGCGUUGUUCGGAAUUACUGGGCGUAAAGGGCGCGUAGGCGGUACUUCAAGUCAGGCGUGAAAGCCCCGGGCUCAACCUGGGAACCGCGCUUGAGACUGGAGAACUAGAGUUCGGGAGAGGAUGGUGGAAUUCCCAGUGUAGAGGUGAAAUUCGUAGAUAUUGGGAAGAACACCGAUGGCGAAGGCAGCCAUCUGGACCGACACUGACGCUGAGGUGCGAAAGUGUGGGGAUCAAACAGG